rnacentral:rRNA from 1 species
CUACGGGGUGCUCCAGUUAGGAAUAAUCUACAAUGCACGAAAGUGUGAUAGUUUGAGCCAGAGUGCUUUACAAUCGUAAAGCUUUUGCCGAAUGUAAAAAGUUCGACGAAUAAGGACUGGGUAAGACGAGUGCCAGCCGCCGCGGUAAUACUCGCGGUCCAAGUCGCAGCCAUUUUUAUUGGGUCUAAAACAUCCGUAGCUUGCUUGUAAGUCUCUUGUGAAAUUCUGUCUCUUAAGGGCAGAGCGCGCAAGAGGUACUGCUGAGCUAGAGACUGGAAGACGUAAGAAGUACAUUCGAGGUAGCGGUUAAAUGUGUUGAUCUCAAGUGGACUAACGAUAGCGAAGGCAUCUUACGAGGACAGUUCUGACAGUAAGGGAUGAAGGCUAGGGGCGCAAAACGGAUUAGAUACCCGCGUAGUC